GCCGGACGGGCAUCGGGGGCCGCCCGACGCGGCGCGGGGCACGUGCUGGAUGGGUUUCAGUCACGCUGGGAUGGAUGGCAGUGCAUCCCCAUCGCCGCUCUAAUACUCUAACGCACAAGGCGGGAAGGGAAGGAGGAUCACCUCGAGCCUCACAGACAGCUGUUGGCAAGGAAGAUGGUGUCUGGAGGCAGAGGCGCGAAGGCAGUAGCUACCUGAAAGUACGACCGGAUUGUUUUUCCUCCAGGAAUUACAGGAACCAUCCUUGCAGUUAUAAGUCAUUUAAUGCAAAUCAUUUAAUCCAAACAGAAUUUUUACAGGCUCAUGAGGCUCACUCAUUUUGCCAAGAGUGAGUCAUGUACAAAUAAAAUGAAACCAACAAAGAAAAGAACUCUCAUACCAUGUGUAUGUGGGUGAUCCUUUGAAAAA